UGCUAAACAUGUCGAAUAUUCAAAUGGAGACAUAUUGCAAUAAUCAAAUGUCGCAAUCAGAGUCGUCAUUUUAAUAUUAUAUGGACCUCGCCAAGAAACAUGGACUUAAACUUCUGAUGUACGAAGACGGACCAUCAAUAAUGGAAGGCAGUGCCAUUGCCCACGGAAUUAGUCACGACGACGUCAUGAAUAAAGCAAUCGCAUUUAAUAGAGAUCAACACAUCAAGUCUGUAGUUAACAAUCUUCUUGAAGCUUGGUAUAAGAUUGUGAAAAAUGAUCCACAAAAUUCUUCACCAGGUGGGUUGUUCAAUUAUUUUUCCUCAACUGGUACUCCAUCAAAAUAUGGCAGCUGGGGAAUGCUUGAAUACACAGGACAAGAUCCUUGAACAGUACCUAAGUAUGUAGCGACUCAGAGUUUCAUUACGCGUCAUUAUAGUCAUAAUUCUGUAGACAUACCGUGCAGUUUCCUUCAGCACACAACCCUUGGAUAUGGUUGUUUCCUGCAGAAACGCGGGGCUCUUAAUUGGUGGUGCGCUGUAACUGACGAUGAUGGCGUCACUUGGUCGUACUAUGUAGACGUUGGCAGCCCUGGAGAUACUCUUGUACUGGAUGGAUUUAACCCUACUACACAUACAGUGUUUGUCAGAUGGGUAAACAAGAUUGGGGUUAACAACUAUCACAGCAUGGACACAAGAACAGGAAAUAACUGGAAAACUCAGACGAGCUUUGAUUACCACAGUGCUCUAGCCUCCAGAAAAAUCAAACGUGGACUACCUAAUGGUGUUUAUAACUAUUUAGAUACACAGUCCAGGUGCACUUGAAAGAUCUAAAUAAUCCAGCUGUCU